rnacentral:rRNA from 1 species
UGGGGAAUAUUGCACAAUGGGCGCAAGCCUGAUGCAGCCAUGCCGCGUGUAUGAAGAAGGCCUUCGGGUUGUAUAGUACUUUCAGCGGGGAGGAAGGGAGUAAAGUUAAUACCUUUGCUCAUUGACGUUACCCGCAGAAGAAGCACCGGCUAACUCCGUGCCAGCAGCCGCGGUAAUACGGAGGGUGCAAGCGUUAAUCGGAAUUACUGGGCGUAAAGCGCACGCAGGCGGUUUGUUAAGUCAGAUGUGAAAUCCCCGGGCUCAACCUGGGAACUGCAUCUGAUACUGGCAAGCUUGAGUCUCGUAGAGGGGGGUAGAAUUCCAGGUGUAGCGGUGAAAUGCGUAGAGAUCUGGAGGAAUACCGGUGGCGAAGGCGGCCCCCUGGACGAAGACUGACGCUCAGGUGCGAAAGCGUGGGGAGCAAACAGG